rnacentral:tRNA from 1 species
GCCGGUGUGGUGGAACUGGUAGACACGCAGGAUUUAGGUUCCUGUGUCCUAGGACGUGCAGGUUCGAGUCCUGUCACCGGCACCC